rnacentral:rRNA from 1 species
GAUGAACGCUAGCGGCAGGCCUACACAUGCAAGUCGAGGGGCAGCACAUAAAGUGGUUUACUACUUUUGGUGGCGACCGGCGGACGGGUGCGUAACGCGUAUGCAACCUGCCUCCAACAGGGGGAUAACGGAGAGAAAUUUCCACUCAUACCCCAUAAUAUCAGAAUCGGCAUCGGUUUUGGUUGAAAACUCCGGUGGUUGGAGAUGGGCAUGCGUUGUAUUAGAUAGUUGGUGAGGUAACGGCUCACCAAGUCAACGAUACAUAGGGGGACUGAGAGGUUAUCCCACCCGACUGGUACGGCGACACGGACCUGACUCCUACGGGAGGCAGCAGUGAGGAAUAUUGGUCAAUGGGGGCAACCCUGAACCAGCCAUGCCGCGUGCAGGAAGACGGCUCUAUGAGUUGUAAACUGCUUUUACACAGGGAUAAAGCACAGUAUGUAUACUGUGUUGAAGGUACUGUAAGAAUAAGGAUCGGCUAACUCCGUGCCAGCCGCCGCAGUAA